AUUGAAGACACUUUGGUAAACAGAAAGGAUGUAAAAAGAAGCAGCAAAUUAAGCCUUGUGAGCUUUAUUUUUCAAAGAUCUUACUCAUUUUCCCUAACAUAAAAUAAUUACACAUGAUUUGCUUUUAAUAUGAAUAAAUUCCAUCUAUCCCAAUCUAAAAACAGCCAUAUAAUAACAUUUAAUAUGAAAUCUCUAUUUCUUUUUAUUUUAGUACUUGGAUAAAAAAUAAGACAAUUCAAGGAAAAUAUCAGGGUGACUCAAAUAUGUCCUAUAUAAUUCCAAGUGAAAAACACAAAAGACAGAAUUUGUAAUAACUUCUGACAUUGAGAUUUUAUUAAGCAAAACACCACUUACAAUUCUAGUCAAAUUUCAUUUUAUUAUGAAGAAAUGUGUUUGGUGUUGUUUAGUAGUAUUUUGUAGGCUUACUUAGCAGAUGUCAUUUUUGUUGCAUAGGUAAUAUUUGUUCUAAACUUUGAGAUUCUACAAACAUUCACCUUUCAAAGGCACAGACACUCCUCUUAUUUUGUACACAUUGCAACACUUUGAACCUACAAUGAAGAAAACCGAAUGCCAUUAAGUGAACACUUAGACAAUUUUGGUAAAUUUCAAAAGAACAAAUUGGCUAUGGUAACUAAUUUUUACGAGGAUAUUUUAUGAAUGACUUAUUAGUAUAUUUGUCUUAGAUGACUGAAGCAGCCCACUAAAGUGUUUUACACUUUUCCUCUUGCAUUCCUGCAAGGCAGCCCCUCUGUGUAGUUAAAGAAAUGUUUCUCAAGUGUACUUCAAAUCAUAUCACACUUGGAGUAAAAUCAGAGACACAGCCUCAGUGCUUUAAAAGAUACAGUUCACAUUUCUAAUCAUAGUUUUACCAAGUUCUCAGCUGGCCCCAUUUUCUCUGUCCAUGUUUUAUCUCUUGCUCCUAGAAUAUGAAUCCAUAGGAAAAAACAUGAACUUUCACUGCUCUUUCCUGUCUCUGGGCUAGUGUAUGUCCUUCUCUAGGCCUUUAAUACUCUCUUUCGUCUUCUUUAUUUUUUAUCCUUCACAGUUCAGCACACAUACCACUUUUUACAAAAGUCUUCCCUAAUGUUCCCAAGUCCUAAGGAGACUUCCCACAUAGACGUUCUCACACUUCCUUGCAUUUUACACAGUUGACUCGUGAAAAACUCAGGGGUUAGGAGUGCUGACUCUUACGCAGUCAAAAAUCAGUAUAUAGCUUUUGACUCCUUAAAGUCUUAACUACUGGCCGGGUGCAGUGGCUCAUGCCUGUAAUCCCAGCACUUUGGGAGGCCGAGGCCAGAGGGUCAUGAGGUCAGGAGUUUGAGACGAGCCUGGCCAACAUGAUAAAAUACUGUCUCUACUAUUAAGAUACAAAAAAUUAGCUGGGUGUGGUGGCACGCGCCUGUAAUCUCAGCUACUCGGGAGGCUGAGGCAGGAGAAUCGCUUGAACCCAGGAGGUGGAGGUUGUAAUGGGCCAAGUUCAUGCCAUUGCACUCCAGCCUGGGCCACAGGGUGAGACUCCGUCUCAAAAAAAAGGAGAAAAAAAAUAAGAAAAAAGAAAAAAAAUCUUAACAACAGUAGCCUACUGUUGACUGGAAGCCUUACAGAUAACAUAAACAGUUGAUCAACACAUAUUUUGUGUGUUAUACAUUUGUUAUACUAUAUUCUUAUAAUAAGGUAAGCUAGAGAAAAAUGUUAUUAAAAAUCAUAAAGAAGAGAAAAUAUAUUUACUAUUCAUUAAAUGGAAGUGGAUCAUCAGAAAGGUUUUCAUCCUCGUCAUCUUCAGGUUGAUUAGGCUUAGGAAGAGGAGGAAUUAGAGGGAUUACUCUUUCUGUCUCAGGAGUGGCAGAGGCACAGGAAAUUUUGACUAUAAGUGAACCCACACAGCUCCAAGCCGAGUGGUUCAAGGGUCAACUGAACUACCUGUUUCAUUUCUUACUUGAGGUGAAUAGAACUUUUGGUUAUCAGAUUCCU
rnacentral:lncRNA from 10 species